rnacentral:rRNA from 1 species
UACGUAGGGUGCAAGCGUUAAUCGGAAUUACUGGGCGUAAAGCGUGCGCAGGCGGUUGUGCAAGACCGAUGUGAAAUCCCCGGGCUUAACCUGGGAAUGGCAUUGGUGACUGCACGGCUAGAGUGUGUCAGAGGGGGGUAGAAUUCCACGUGUAGCAGUGAAAUGCGUAGAGAUGUGGAGGAAUACCGAUGGCGAAGGCAGCCCCCUGGGAUAACACUGUCGCUCAUGCACGAAAGCGUGGGGAGCAAACAGG